rnacentral:rRNA from 1 species
GACGAACGCUGGCGGCGUGCUUAACACAUGCAAGUCGAACGGAAAGGCCCUGCUUUUGUGGGGUGCUCGAGUGGCGAACGGGUGAGUAACACGUGAGUAACCUGCCCUUGACUUUGGGAUAACUUCAGGAAACUGGGGCUAAUACCGGAUAGGAGCUCCUGCUGCAUGGUGGGGGUUGGAAAGUUUCGGCGGUUGGGGAUGGACUCGCGGCUUAUCAGCUUGUUGGUGGGGUAGUGGCUUACCAAGGCUUUGACGGGUAGCCGGCCUGAGAGGGUGACCGGCCAAAUUGGGACUGAGAUACGGCCCAGACUACUACGGGAGGCAGCAGUGGGGAAUAUUGCACAAUGGGCGGAAGCCUGAUGCAGCAACGCAGCGUGCGGGAUGACGGCCUUCGGGUUGUAAACCGCUUUCGCCUGUGACGAAGCGUGAGUGACGGUAAUGGGUAAAGAAGCACCGGCUAACUACGUG